rnacentral:lncRNA from 7 species
AUCAUUCCGUGCUGGUGGCUGAUGGGGAAGGAGCGGCGCGGCUCCGCGGUGGGGCUGGGGCGCGUUGUGCUCCCCCUCUCACCGCUCUCCCCCCGCCGCUCUGCCGGAUCCUGGGGGAGGCGCCGAGGGGCGGGGAGCGGCGCUUACAGCCGGAGCCGCCCGGGGAAGGGGCGCGCAGCCAGGAGGGAGGGAAAGAUGUGAACAAAGGUGACCCCUAGGUUGAAGUUUCUUCAAGGAUGUCUUGGUCUGGAAUGUGGUUUAACAGCACAGGUGAAGAUCUUUGGAAAAGUAGAGCAUCUGUGUCAUUGAUUGGAAAUGCUGUAUACUGACAAACCUAUGGAAUCCUGUCUUGUCAGAGUCCUUAACAGAGCUGAGCAGCAGUGGUGGUCUGAGCUUGGCUCACCGUGGUGGGAAGUAGUCAUGAGGACCUGUGGUUAGUCUCCUGUUGGAAGAUGAAGAUACUCUGUUCUUAUCUGUACCUCCUGGUUUUUAAUGUUCGAGUACAAAGAAGUUGAUGUUGUGAGUAAUCACUGCAGUUAAUGUUUGAUUUUUGAAUGUGGUUCACAUAUUUAUCCAAUUCCUUUGGUGCUGAAAGUCAUCUGUUGUUAAUUAUGUGACCAACAAAUUGUAAGUACGGGUUUGCACAUAGAAGCUGAUCAUGUGUCAGGAUCUUUGGCCCAAAUCUGAAAUGCUAAAGGCACUCACUUCUGGAAGAUGCUGAAACUUUAUUGAAUUAUGUUUUUACGAGCUUCUUUAUGAUUAUCUUUUAGGUAUUUUCUGAUCUAAUGUUGAAAAGCUAUUUAGUGUAACUGCAGUUAAGUGAUUUCAUCUCAAAUGUUUAUUUUGCUAUGCACAUCUCUUCCCCCUUUUCUUUUUUUAAUGUGAAGUGCUACAGCUUUACUUUAAGUUUAUAUGGAAAGCAACUAUACUUUAAGAAGUAUGCAGGAGGAUUUCCCAUGUCUGUAAACAUACUGGGUAGUUGAGCAUUUGCUGAAAUGAGCUGCCAAUUGUUUUCUGUCUUAUAAUACUCCUUUGUAGAUCUGCUGGUAUCUGGCUUGUCCCUGCUGCAUCUAUACAAUGCGUUCCUUCAUGUUUUGUGUAACAUCUUCCUCAGUCAUUUCUGUGUAUGUAAAUACAGAAACUGGAAAGAGAAAACUCUGUUUGUGAAUUGUCCCUCUUCCUGCCCUCACUUCUCCACCCCUCCAGCGUAGCUGGAAGGUUGGUCAUGAGCAGGAAGUGAGAACAAUAUUGAUUACUGGUAUCCAGGAAUUCUGAGGGGGAAGGGGGCAAAAAUGAGCACUGGAAAACAAUCUACGUGUUCUGACAACACAUUUAUGCUUUGAGACCCUUAGAAUGGGAGUGCUGUCGGUAGAAAAAGUAAAUGAAGACCUCGAGGUGUUGGUUGCAGAAGUAUCGAAGCAACUGCCAUCGUAAGAGGCUUGGGUGUUGGUUUUGUGCCUUCUGUUACUUGUUCAGUUCUUUAAAUCACUCCUAAUAGUGGUUAGUGAGGUGCAAGCAGAGUGAAGCCUAAACCCAGAAGGGUUUUUGUGUAUUUACCUUUUUUUUUUAGCUUGUCAAACUCAAAGCAGAGUUACAUUAAAACAAAGUAUCUUUCAGGGGUGACUUCUGUGACUGUAUAACUCCUGCCACAUGAGUGAUUACUGUUCAUUUCUGCACUUACUAUUUGCAAGUGCUGCAUGUUUGUGUCACAACACUGUUUUCUAACACUGUUUCAAGUAAGAGAAGAACGUAAAAAAAGGUAAUUUAAAGUGAUGUAUUUAAUGGGAAGUAGUUGUUCUAAGUUGCUCAACUGAGAAGAGAUGAGUACUGGCAUGUCUCAAAACUUGUUUUGUUCCCCAGGAGUUAAGCAUAGAGUGUUAUCUCCCUUUUAUUUGCACAGUAUCUCGCAUACCAGCAGAGCCUGGAAAUUCAUAAUGUUUAGCAAAAUGAGGAAAGAAAUCAAGAGUCACACAUUUUUGCUGUUGGCAGCGGUAGCCUGAUCAACAUUUACCCGUCAGCCUGCCACCUCCCGUAACUUAGACACUAGUUUUUAAAACCACUUUCUGCAGCCGUUAGUCCUCAGUUUCUGGUUGCCAAAUAUGUGUUUUCUUUUUUCUUCUUGCGCAAACUUGUUGUUACUGCUGUGCUUAUACGAGAGGGCUUAGCUGAGUUUUGGAGGUGUAUUUAGCAGCAGAUGUACUGCAUAUUGUCCUUUUUCUUGUGACAGUCCUUAAGAGUAUUUAAGUGUAUCAUUCAGCAUUUGAUGGGUGACCAAGCUAUUCUUUGUUUAUUUUCUGAAGCAUUGAGCGUUUUGUUACAAAUGUAGGCUGAUAUUAUUACAGAUACGUGGUUUUGUUCAUGGCUUUGAUGCUUAGUGUUGCUGUGAGAAAGAUCCCUGUGCAGGGUUCAACAAAUAAUUGUGGAGAGCAGCGGUUCCACUUUCUGUGCACGUGCUACCUAUUUUGUAAAUAAGCAUUGUAUGGCUGUUGGUCUUCCUUUUAAAAGCUAUCCUGUGCAUGGCUGACUUCAAAACUCUUAUAAAAGCUUAGGAAUUAAGUCAGUGUUGUAAACUAGAAACGUGAGGUAGACUUUCAGAAUUAUUUGGAAGAGGAAAAUACGUGUAUAUGAACUGAAGGAAUCUGAGUCAAAUGAGCAGGCUGUGCAGCUUUCCUGAGGUUUGUGAAAAAUCAAAAUGCAGUAACUUGUUAGACCUGUGUGAGGAGGAAUAGAGAACAUAUAUUUCUAGCCUGUCAUAGAACGGUGUGGAUUAACACAGAAGCAAGAAAAGAGCCUCAGAUGUUCUUGCAAAACUGUGACAAAACACCUUUGCAAAACGUGAUGACCUCAGUUCUACUGUGGUAGAAUAAAACAAAAUCAGAGGUUGGAAAAAAAUGGCAACUCGUGGUAUAAAGAGGUUAAGAAAUUGAAGUAUUAAUAUUCAAGUAAAAUACAUUUAAUAAGUAGGAAAUGAAGUGAAACAGUGUACUCUGAAGCUUAUCAAAGAGUUUACAGGAAGGUUCCUGAAGAUCUGGAGAUCUCCUGAAGGAUCCUGGAGAUCCUGAAGAUCUGGAGAAUUCAACUGAAAAUAGAAAAUCCGUUCUUUUUACCUGAGCCUGUAUCUGUGUAUUUAGGAAUAAACACAGUUUUUGUUUCGUAUUUUUACAACAGCUGUUUGGGUAACCUAAAGCACACAGACCGCGAUGCUGGUAUUUACGAGGCCUGCACUCCAAGGCUGUGAGUGCAACUGGAGCUAAAGGAGCCUUGCUGUUCUGCUGGGGCUUUAUGAAAACUUCAGGAGCAUUUGACAAGUUUUACUCUAUUCAGUGGGAGGAAAAAAGGAAAUGUACUUGUAGUUUUUAAGCUUUACAGAAUGAUUAGGUUUUAAUUUAGCAAAACUAUCCUAGACAAACAUAGUGUAUUUCUUUCUUAUAGUCAAAAUAAGAAGCGCCUAUGGUAGAAAGAGUACUGUGCAAAACUUGCUCUAGUGGAUGUGAGAGCUUUUGAGUCUGACAGUUUAAGUAGCGAAGACGAAAGUGAGGACAGUUCUUGGGCAGGGGACUUGAAGAGGAAUGUGAUUCAUGGGGCAUAGUGACUGGCGUAAUUACCAGUGCAGCUGCUGUAGUAAUUUCUGCCAGUGCUAAAAAAGCCUGUCAUGGCCUGUACUCUGCUGGUCAGAGUGUAAGUGAUAACGAUGGCAGCAGCAGUGCCAACUCCAGGCUGCUGUAUGCGAUUGGAGCAGUUUCUGCUAGGUUUCAAAUUGAUAUAAAACCUUCACAGGAUUUCCUGAAGUGUUCAGGCUGAGGAAAAACUUUGGAAUUGGGAGUGGCAAGGUUUUGUUAUGUGUUUUCUGUGAGGAAUAGUAAGAGUAGUGAUACAGAGGGAUUUAAAUAAUCUGAUAAUGAGUAAAACCUGUCAAAUUCAGGCAAGGAAAACCAAGGACUUGAGCACCUUCAAUUUUAACAUUAUCAGCACAAAAGGUUUGUAAGAAAUCCAUUUGCUUCAGUAUUCUAUUAAAUAAGGUUUUAAACUUUUUGUUCUGAUAGAGCUUUCUGUCAUUCUGUAUUUUUUUAAUCACGUUCUGUAAUCUGAAACAUCUGACUUGUGGUUCAGUGUUUGUUUCCAUUUAAGCCAAGUGACACAUUUCAGAGUUGAUCCAGCAUGGAAUUUGGAGGAAGGAGCUCUUGAAGCACUGGGACAGAAGAGUGGGAAGAAACGUUCUGCUGGACCCAGGCUUCUUUCUCAUGUAAAUGGCUUGACCUAGCGAGGAAAAGCUUUUGCUGAAGAGUGAGGGGAAUUUUGAAAUACUAACCACAAAAUGUUAUUUUCUGUCACUAAUGUGCAUCAUCAAAACUCACUUCUCUAGCACUCAACAAAUGUAAUUUGCAUUUAAAAUUGAAGUGGAUUGCCAGAAGUCUUACAUCAGUCUCACAUCAAAGACAGCAGAAUUUCCUAGAAUUCAGGGACUCUGAUACUUACUGUCAGAGCAAUCUGUUUAACUGCCUAGCCCCAACAUCUGCAUUAGCAGCUCAUUGCAUUUCACCUGUGCAGUAGAAAUAAUAAUUUUGUCCUAUUUGAGAGAAGGCUUAGCUUCCUUCCUAGAUGUUCUAAGUGUAAACUGUAAAUACAUAUGCAGUGUUCCUAAUUUCUUUCAGUCUUCCUUAUCCUCUUCAAAGAGUUUCCAGAUCUUGCUCUUUUUCAACCUUUUAUUUACCUUUGAUUUCAUUUCUGCCAUUUCCAUCUCCUGUUCUUAAUAACGUGCCUCCCUCAGAUUGUUGCUGAAGAAUGCCAAACAGUGUUUGUGGCUCGAUUCAAGAAAGAGAUUAAGGAGGAGAUCACAAUUUCCUGCAUCCAAAGGUAUCAGAAGAUUGUUAGCUAAUUUAUGAAAACAUUCUGUAAUCAUUGCUCAUUGUUGUCCCUGUUGACUGAUGGUACGAGUUCCACAGGCUUAAAUUCGGGCACAAGAGGAGUCCUAAAAUAACACUGCAGAGUUUCUCCUUGUGCAGCAAGCGACUCUGCUCAUCCCAAGCACCUGGUGACUGCAACCUGAGUGACAGUAAGUAGUGUAGUUCUGUGGCUUAUGUUUCCAGCAUGUAUAUAUGUGUACGCUGAGGCUCAGCCCUAAUAAAGUCACCUUUU